rnacentral:lncRNA from 1 species
CGGGAGUCGUACCUCUGCAGCCACAAAGGCUAGGCAGCCAAGAAAGGAAUUAUACAAGUAGAGGGGAAAAAAGGAGAGAGCUGACAAAGGUCAUAAUUUUGUUGCAGGGGACCAAAUUUAACCCAACGAAUAAAGAAAACGGUGUCUAUUCGUUUUGCCGGGGACCUGGAAUGGCAAUCCAAUUCUCUUUGCUUUUUGCUACUCUCAGCUGGGCGAAGAAAAUCGUACUGAAUUUUCCAUACUUUCUAUUUCAUUCCUUUAUAUGUAACAGAGUACUGUGAUCAAGUAAAGGAAUUGUUUAUGGAGGUGGGGCUGCUAAUGCUAAUGAUAAAACCAUUAAAAUGGCGGAGGGAGAGGAAGAUAUUAAAAAAUUAGGAAAAAACAGGAACGACUGGCGUAUUAGUGUCAAAGCUUGUUGAUUGACUCUACAAGUUAUCGGCGGGACGGCGACCGCUUCCUAUUCAUUGCCACCGCUUCCUAUUUCGGAGAUAAAAAUAUUCUCUCACUCC